CCGUGUUGUGGAUGCUCCCAGACCGCUCCCCGGGACGCGGGGAGGACCCGGGCGGCUGCGGCAGGGCAGGUCUUGAGGGAGGCGUGAGGACACGGCGGGAUGAUGAAAAGCAUUUGUCGAAAUGUGGCAUUUUCAAAGACCAGAAUAACCAUUUCAGGACAACAGAAAACAAACUGAAGUUUUCCAGGAGAGAGGUGGUCGCUCUUGAACGUGGUCCCUGGGCGCAGAGGAUCAGGCAGCACAUAGGCUGCUGUUGAUGGGGAGGACCCAGGGGCUGGAGAGAGUGGCCUGGUUGCUCUGCAUCUGUGUUGAGCAGUGGGCACAGAGGCUGCGUUCAAGGGUGGAAGUCAGGUUCUGCUUUCCUUCUUUGUAAAGUAGGGGGAAAGCACAAACCAGGCAUGGUGGCACACACCUGCAGUGCCUACUACUGGGCCUGGCGCAGGAAGAUCACUUAAGCCCAGGAGUUGGAGUCUACAGGAGAUGAACCUCAUCCACUUGGGCAACAUACCCCCCUACUUGAGACUGCUGGGAGGCUUCUAGGGACCCACCUUUAAUAAACACUGUGUGCAUA